UACGUAGGGUGCGAGCGUUAAUCGGAAUUACUGGGCGUAAAGCGUGCGCAGGCGGUUUUGUAAGACCGAUGUGAAAUCCCCGGGCUUAACCUGGGAACUGCAUUGGUGACUGCAAGGCUUGAGUGUGUCAGAGGGAGGUGGAAUUCCGCGUGUAGCAGUGAAAUGCGUAGAUAUGCGGUGGAACACCGAUGGCGAAGGCAGCCUCCUGGGAUAACACUGACGCUCAUGCACGAAAGCGUGGGGAGCAAACAGG
rnacentral:misc_RNA from 1 species